rnacentral:rRNA from 1 species
AUUGAACGCUGGCGGCAUGCCUUACACAUGCAAGUCGAACGGCAGCGGGGGAGAAGCUUGCUUUUCCUGCCGGCGAGUGGCGAACGGGUGAGUAAUACAUCGGAACGUACCCAGAAGUGGGGGAUAACGUAGCGAAAGUUACGCUAAUACAGUAUAUUCUGUGAGCAGGAUAGUGGGGGAUCGCAAGACUGCACGCUUGUGGAGCGGCUGAUGUCGGAUUAGCUAGUUGGUGAGGUAAAGGCUCACCAAGGCGACGAUCCGUAGCGGGUCCGAGAGGAUGAUCCGCCACACUGGGACUGAGACACGGCCCAGACUCCUACGGGAGGCAGCAGUGGGGAAUUUUGGACAAUGGGGGCAACCCUGAUCCAGCCAUGCCGCGUGAGUGAAGAAGGCCUUCGGGUUGUAAAGCUCUUUCGCGAGGGAAGAAAGCGCACUGGUUAAUACCUGGUGUGGAUGACGGUACCUUGAUAAGAAGCACCGGCUAACUACGUGCCAGCCGCCGCGGUAA